UAACGAAUAUUCCGCAAUGCGCGAAAGCGUGACGGAGCAAUGCCGCGUGCAGGAUGAAGCCCCUCGGGGUGUAAACUGCUGUCAGGGUCCACCAAGCUCUGAGGAGACCCAGAGGAAGAGCCGGCUAACUCUGUGCCAGCAGCCGCGGUAAUACAGAGGGCUCGAGCGUUAAUCGGAAUCACUGGGCUUAAAGGGUGCGCAGGCGGAUGGGCAAGUGCUUUGUGAAAUCCCACGGCUUAACCGUGGAAUGGCUUGGCAGACUGCCCGUCUUGAGCCCGGCAGGGGCCGUCGGAACGGUAGGUGGAGCGGUGAAAUGCGUAGAUAUCUACCGGAACGCCAAAGGUGAAGACAGACGGCUGGGCCGGCGCUGACGCUCAGGCACGAAAGCGUGGGGAGCGAACGGGAUUAGAUACCCCCGUAGUCC
rnacentral:rRNA from 1 species